rnacentral:rRNA from 1 species
AAUGAACGUUGGCGGCAUGGAUUAGGCAUGCAAGUCGAGCGAGAAGUGUAGCAAUACACGGAAAGCGGCGGAAGGGAGAGUAAUACGUGGGAAUCUGCCCUUAGACCUGGGAUAGCAGCGGGAAACUGCUGGUAAUACCAGAUAAUGUCUAUGGACCAAAGGUGUGAUUCCGUCUAGGGAUGAGCCCACGUCCUAUUAGCUAGUUGGUAGGGUAAUGGCCUACCAAGGCGAUGAUGGGUAGCGGGUAGGAGAGCAUGACCCGCCUCACUGGGACUGGGACACUGCCCAGACACCUACGGGUGGCUGCAGUCGAGAAUCUUCGGCAAUGGGCGCAAGCCUGACCGAGCGAUGCCGCGUGCGGGAUGAAGGCCUUCGGGUUGUAAACCGCUGUCGAGGGGGAGCAACUUCCAUAGAGUUAUCUUUAUGGAUUGAGUGAUCCCUGGAGGAAGGACGGGCUAAGUUCGUGCCAGCCGCCGCAGUAACAC